UACGGGGGGGCAAGCGUUGUCCGGAAUCACUGGGCGUAAAGGGCGCGUAGGCGGCCUGGCAAGUCGAUGGUGAAAGCCCGUGGCUCAACUACGGGUCGGCCAUUGAUACUGCUAGGCUCGAGUCGACUAGAGGCAGAUGGAAUUCCGGGUGUAGCGGUGGAAUGCGUAGAGAUCCGGAAGAACACCGGUGGCGAAGGCGGUCUGCUGGGGUCGAACUGACGCUGAGGCGCGAAAGCGUGGGGAGCAAACAGG
rnacentral:rRNA from 1 species